rnacentral:lncRNA from 1 species
GUGUAUAUUCUUUAUGUAAUAAUACUCAUUAUGCCAUAUAAGUUAAGUGCUGUUAGUUUUUUUGUUUUGUUUUGUUUUUUCCCCUUCAGUUGACAGAUAGGCUAAGAGAAUUGCCCAGGGUCAACCAACAAGUAGGAGAAAUGGAUUUGAGUACCAGCAGUAGCACACACCUGUAAUCUCAGUGGUUCAAGUGUCUGAGGCAGGAGGAUCCAAGUUCAAAGGUAGCCUCAGCAAGUUAGCAAGGUCCUGUCUCAAAAAUGAAGGGCUGGGAAUGUGGCUCAGUGGUUAAACGCCCCUGGGUUCAUUUCCUGGUUAAAAAAAAAAAAAAAAAAAUGAGCCAGGGAAUAUUGGGGAUGGGAAGUAUGUGUUUGUGCCAUCAGUUUUGAAGACCCUUGAAUGCCAGGCUAAGAAGUGUGAAUUUUUAUCAUCUAGGCCAGAGGUUUCCAAACUUUUUAAAUCAUGGUGCCUUCAGUAUCUCCAUGAUUUUUUACUUUUUUAUAUUAUUUAUUUUUUUUGUAGUACUAGGGAUUGAACUCAGCCUCACACAUGCUAGGCACAUACUGAGCUACAUCUUCAUACCCAAAUUUUGAGACAAGGUCUCGCUAAAUUGCCCAGAUUAGGCUCAAAUUUGUGAUUCUCCUGCCUCAGCCUUCUGAGUUCAUUGGGAUUGCACCACUUGUUGGAUAUACACCAAUCACUGUGCUUGGCUGAGUCUAUUCUCUUAUUCCUGCUAUCCUCCACCUUUAACAUCAAGGCCAGAUUCAUGUUUCUAAAAUACUCAUGGUAUUUGCCUGGUUAAGACAUGAGUAAAGCUUGUUGCUUAUAUCUGUGGUUCCCAGACCAUGAGCCAAGGCACCCUUGGAACAUGGCUGCAUAUUCACAGAAUGCCACGGGAUAUUCUAAUGUUAGGGUACUCACAGGGAUACUUGACAUGUUAGGCCCCUGUGAACUAUCAAAGUAGGUCAGUAACAACAUAAUAGACCAGGCUCAAUUCCUUUGAACACCAGUUAGGAAAUGAAGGUGGCAGUGUCCAUCCAGCUAGAUUCCAUAGUUUGAGAAGUUGAGAGUGCCCAACGUCUGACUAGUAAAUGAUUAUAUAGUUGUUUUAAAAUGGAAAUAUACAUUUUCUUUAGAUUUAGGUGUAUUACAUUUUCAAACUACUACUAAGUUGUUAGGACAUAAAUACUAUUUGACCCAGUCACUUA